rnacentral:lncRNA from 1 species
UGUCCCCAAACAUGAAUAGCCAUUCCCUAAAAUUUAAAACAAGUUCUCCAAUAUUUUUCAUUUAAAUUAUUCUAUAACAUACAUAUUCAAAAUAAUAACAAUAUUUGAUCAAAUAUAAUACAAUCUUCUGAGUUUUCAUUGUUCAUUUUCGUCUUCCCGCAAAGUUGACUUCCGCACAGUUCUUUAUGAUCCUUUAGUUUUGUAAAUGUUCAUAUAGCACCAACAUCUCUUCUUCACAUAACGAUUGUUCAUAAAACACGAGUUCUGUUUAUUUUAACGAAUGUUUAUAGAACACAGACAUAUUUUAUCUUCUUCACUUGACAAAUGUUCAUAAAACACCAACACAUCUUCUUCUCAUUACGAAAGUUCAUAAAAUACGAGUUCUGCUUAUUUUAACAAAUGUUUAUAUAGAGCACUGACAAAUCUUCUUCACUUGACGUUCUAGACGAAUGUUCAUUAAGCAGCAACACUUCUACUUCUCGUUAUGCAUGUUCUCGCAUCAGAAAUAAGUCUGUGUAUUCUGACAAAUGUUUAUAGAGCACCAUCAAAUAUUCUCUGCGGGACGAAUGUUCAUAUAGCGCUAUUUUACAAAUAAUUUUCCUGAAAACAAAUUACAUAUUACAC